UACGUAGGAUGCAAGCGUUGUCCGGAAUUAUUGGGCGUAAAGAGCGAGCAGGCGGUUUGGAAAGUUGGACGUGAAAUUUUAGGGCUUAACCCUAAAGGGUCGUCCAAAACUCCCAGACUAGAGUGCAGGAGAGGAAAGCGGAAUUCCCGGUGUAGUGGUGAAAUGCGUAGAUAUCUGGAGGAACACCGGUGGCGAAGGCGGCGUUCUGGACUGCAUCUGACACUGAAAGACGAAAGCCAGGGGAGCAAACGGG
rnacentral:rRNA from 1 species